GAGUUUGAUCAUGGCUCAGAACGAACGCUGGCGGCAUGCCUAACACAUGCAAGUCGAACGAGACCUUCGGGUCUAGUGGCGCACGGGUGCGUAACGCGUGGGGAUCUGCCCUUUGCUUCGGAAUAACAGUUAGAAAUGACUGCUAAUACCGGAUGAUGAUUUCGGUCCAAAGAUUUAUCGGCAAAGGAUGAACCCGCGUAGGAUUAGCUAGUUGGUGGGGUAAAGGCCUACCAAGGCGACGAUCCUUAGCUGGUCUGAGAGGAUGAUCAGCCACACUGGGACUGAGACACGGCCCAGACUCCUACGGGAGGCAGCAGUGGGGAAUAUUGGACAAUGGCGAAAGCCUGAUCCAGCAAUGCCGCGUGAGUGAUGAAGGCCUUAGGGUUGUAAAGCUCUUUACCCGGGAUGAUAAUGACAGUACCGGGAGAAUAAGCUCCGGCUAACUCCGUG
rnacentral:rRNA from 1 species